AUAAAAAGAGCCUUACGAUAAGGGCGUCUACUUGUAGAGCCUGACCUCCACUUCUAACACUGUGCACUUGAUGGCGAGGUAAUGGAACUUUCGAGUGAAACUACCUUGCGGCUUCAUUUUAAACAUUAGUCAAAGUAUGUAAUGAAAUAUUAAAACAAAAAAAAACUUUCAACAACGGAUCUCUUGGCUCUCGCAUCGAUGAAGAACGCAGCGAAAUGUGAUAAGUAAUGUGAAUUGCAGAAUUCAGUGAAUCAUCGAAUCUUUGAACGCACCUUGCGCUCCCUGGUAUUCCGGGGAGCAUGCCUGUUUGAGUGUCAUGAACUCUUCAACCCACCAGUUUCUAGUAGACUGCGUUGGUGUUUGGAUUUUGAGCGUUGCUAGUCUGACUAGCUCGUUCGUAAUACAUUAGCAUCUCUAAUUCGAAUUCGGAUUGACUCAGUGUAAUAGACUAUUCGCUGAGGACACUUUUAUUAGUGGCCGUACUAGAACCAGUAGAAGCUUCCAACUAUUGUAGUCAACUUUAAUUUAGACCUCAGAUCAGGCAGGAUUACCCGCUGAACUUAAGCAUAUCAAAAG
rnacentral:rRNA from 1 species